GAUGAACGCUGGCGGCGUGCCUAAUGCAUGCAAGUCGAGCGAACAGAUAAGGAGCUUGCUCCUUUGACGUUAGCGGCGGACGGGUGAGUAACACGUGGGUAACCUACCUAUAAGACUGGAAUAACUCCGGGAAACCGGGGCUAAUGCCGGAUAACAUUUAGAACCGCAUGGUUCUAAAGUGAAAGAUGGUUUUGCUAUCACUUAUAGAUGGACCCGCGCCGUAUUAGCUAGUUGGUAAGGUAACGGCUUACCAAGGCAACGAUACGUAGCCGACCUGAGAGGGUGAUCGGCCACACUGGAACUGAGACACGGUCCAGACUCCUACGGGAGGCAGCAGUAGGGAAUCUUCCGCAAUGGGCGAAAGCUUGACGGAGCAACGCCGCGUGAGUGAUGAAGGUCUUCGGAUCGUAAAACUCUGUUAUUAGGGAAGAACAAAUGUGUAAGUAACUGUGCACGUCUUGACGGUACCUAAUCAGAAAGCCACGGCUAACUACGUG
rnacentral:rRNA from 1 species